rnacentral:rRNA from 1 species
AAGCGCUCGCAAAUCAAGACUUGCCCGCGGGGGGAUCAACUCGGUAUUCUUACCGGGUGCACUCGCCCGUGGUCCAGCCCAGCAUCCGGUUUGGGCGGUAGGCCAAAGUCCACCGGGAAGGUAGCUCCUCUCGGGGAAGUGUUAUAGCCGGUGGUGCAAAGGCACCCCGCCUGGACCGAGGACCGCGCUUGGGUUAGGAUGCUGGCGUAAUGUUUGUAAGCGACCCGUCUCAAAACACGGACCAAGGAUUUUACCAUCUAUGCGAGUGUUGGGGUGUCAAACCCAGGCGCGUAAUGAAAGUGAACGGAGGUGGGAACCCUGAAGGGUGCACCAUCGACCGAUCCAGAUGUCUUGGGAUGGAUUGGAGUAAGAGCAUAGCUGUUGGGACCCGAAAGAUGGGGAACUAUCCCUAAAUGGGGGGAAGCCAGAGGAAACUCUGGUGGAGGCUCGCAGCGGUUCUGACGUGCAAAUCGAUCGUCAAAUUUGGGUAUAGGGGCGAAAGACUAAUGGAACCUUCUGUCACUAGAUGAGAUCCGGGCCGCGACGCCCGAGUAGUCCCCGCCGUGGGGGCAACAUGGUCGGUCUCUCGGGGACGCCUUCGGGCUACCGGCAGUGAGCUCUGGGCUCAUUCCCAGACUAAGUGACGGUGGCCGUGCCUGCAGCGCG